rnacentral:rRNA from 1 species
UCUGGUUCUUGUGUUUCACCAAGGGAAUAUUAUUGUUUCAAACUACAAAUUCGAGCCAAAGAAUUUAAUGUGUUAGUUUUUGGAAAACGACUCACUCAACAAUAUAUUGUUGAUAUGUACAUAAAGAUUGAAUCGAUAAGAUUGGCAUUCUACUUAAAACCAGCAAAUCAAAUUCUCAUACGAGCAGAUCUAUAUCAAGGGCUGGUUGAUAGUGUUAUUGCUGGUGAGACACGUGCAUGCAUGAUUGGCAAGCGCAUUGUGCUCCCUGCCUCUUUCAUUGGAGGUCCAAGGGACAUGCGCCGAAGGUAUCUAGAUGCUAUGGCUUUGGUCCAGCGGUUUGGAAAGCCAGAUUUAUUUUUAACAAUGACGUGCAACCCAAGUUGGGAAGAGAUAAUAAAAGAACUCGCUCCAGGCCAAUCAGCACAAGACCGACCAGACUUGGUAGCACGGGUCUUUAGGGCAAAAUUGGAGGAUCUGAAAAAGCUUAUAUUUAAGAAGAAAUUCUUUGGCGAGGUUGCUGCUUACGUGUAUGCCAUU